rnacentral:rRNA from 1 species
CCCUACUAUGCCUAGCCAUAACACAACAAUCAAAUUACCUAUUGUUCGCCAAAUAACUACGAGUACAGACUUAAAAUUUAAAAGACUUGACGGUACCUCACAACAACCUAGAGGAGCCUGUCAAAUAACCGAUACUCCACGAUUAAUCCAACCCCCCCUGGCCAAUCAGUCUAUAUACCGCCGUCGCCAGCCCACCUUAUGAAAGAAAUUAAGUGAGCUAAAUAGCCAUACACUAGUACGACAGGUCGAGGUGUAACUAAUGGGUGGGUUCAAGAUGGGCUACAUUUUCUAACGCAGAAAACACGAAUUAACUAUGAAAUAAAAACUGAAGGCGGAUUUAGAAGUAAACUAAGAACAAACUACCUUAAUCGAAACUAACGCAAUGAGGUGCGUACACACCGCCCGUCAUCCCUGUCACUAAAAUAUAAACAUUCAUAAACUCACAUUAAACUAACAACAGGGCAAGUCGUA